rnacentral:rRNA from 1 species
GACGAACCGUGCGAACGUUAUUCGGAAUCACUGGGCUUAAAGGGCGCGUAGGCGGGCCGAAAAGCCAGGGGUGAAAUCCUCCAGCCCAACUGGAGAAGCGCCUUUGGAACUGGCGGCCUCGAGGGGUGCAGGGGCAUGCGGAACUCAGGGUGGAGCGGUGAAAUGCGUAGAUAUCAGGAGGAACACCGGUGGCGAAGGCGGGUCUCUGGGCCGAUACUGACGCUGAGGAGCGAAAGCGUGGGGAGCGAACAGG